AUUGAACGCUGGCGGCAUGCUUUACACAUGCAAGUCGAACGGUAACAGGCCGCAAGGUGCUGACGAGUGGCGAACGGGUGAGUAAUGCAUCGGAACGUGCCCAGUCGCGGGGGAUAACUACCCGAAAGAGUAGCUAAUACCGCAUACGAUCUAUGGAUGAAAGCGGGGGACCGUAAGGCCUCGCGCGAUUGGAGCGGCCGAUGUCAGAUUAGGUAGUUGGUGGGGUAAAGGCUCACCAAGCCAACGAUCUGUAGCUGGUCUGAGAGGACAACCAGCCACACUGGGACUGAGACACGGCCCAGACUCCUACGGGAGGCAGCAGUGGGGAAUUUUGGACAAUGGGCGCAAGCCUGAUCCAGCAAUGCCGCGUGCAGGAAGAAGGCCUUCGGGUUGUAAACUGCUUUUGUACGGAACGAAACGGCUCUGGUUAAUACCCGGGGCUAAUGACGGUACCGUAAGAAUAAGCACCGGCUAACUACGU
rnacentral:rRNA from 1 species